GGUGGCUCAGUGGUAAAGCACUUGCCUUGCAUGCAUAAGGCCCUGGGUUCGAUUCCUCAGCACCA
rfam:Dipodomys ordii ctg_broad_rename0000201, whole genome shotgun sequence.